rnacentral:tRNA from 1 species
UGCCGGUGUGGCGGAAUUGGUAGACGCGGCAGAUUCAAAAUCUGUUUUUAGCAAUAGAGUGUUGGUUCGAGUCCAAUCACCGGCAU